GCCGGCCGCGGUCCCGCCCCCGGCCCGAGGGCAGCGCUAGGACAAGGCCUGGGGGGCGGGGGGGAGAGCGAGAUAUCCCGCCCCUGGGGAAGCCUGGGAGAGGGGCGGGCGCGCCGGCCUGGAGGAAAAGCCCCAAGGACCGGGAAGAUGGAGGCGGCCGCAGCGGGCGAAGGGCGGGGACCCUCGCCUCCUCCUGCGGGGUCACCUUGGCCAGGGCCCCGCGGCCCUUGGCAGCCGCGGAGGUGGUAGAAAUGCCUCUCAGAAGGCCCUGAUUUCCCCGCCCAGGCCAGUUCCAGGAACGCGCAAGGCAAAAGGCCUUUUCGAUUCCGACAGGUUCGAGGCCACGCUUCGCUCCUCCUGCUUUGCCUUGUCUUCAGCCUCAGUUGCCCUCCUGGUGAAAUAAGCACAAGGCCUGGCCACAACCAAUCCAGGAUUCCGUUUUCUUGGUGACAGCCGCCUGGACAACCUGGGACCCCUAAUCUGAGCAUCGCCGGGGUCAUCGCACUUGGCGUCAGUAAGUUCAAUGAGCUGGUCCCUGAAAAGUGGAUGUAAGUCACUAACGCUUGCACACAGCAGCCAAGCUGUUUCCCACCUUUUCCUCGGAAGCUCAGACUUGGCGGUCUUUAGUGUUUUCUUUGGGCGAUUCCUGAGUCCACGCCUAGUAUCUUUUUACCUGUCUGCUGUCUGGUGGCAAAUCUCAGUUCAAAAAGACAGCCCUCCCGAUCCAAAGUUGGACUUGAACACAGCAAACGAAAAGGCACUUCCAAGUCAGCAUCUCCAGUAGGUGAAGUGCUGACUCCGGGUUGGAAUUCUGUUUUCAUUAGGGCAUUUGAUGCCUCGGUCUUCGCCAGAGCCACAUCAAGACGUGAGUCUUGAUCACGGGUCCCCAUGCCCAGGCACUGCUCGUGGCACACGUUCCUGGUCUGGUGCGAAGUGACAGUGGGAUGUCUCUGGAAAGGAAACUCAAAGCCCAGUCUGGCAGAGAAGAGGAGGCAAAAGGAAGAAGAUGGAGGCUGCAGAUAGCAGAGGAAGCCUGAAGCCUCAGGCUGCCUCAGUACUUCCAGAGGGAAGGCCAUGAAGUCACAGGUCUGCAGCUUCCAACGGGUUCUAGCAAGAAGGCAGGCUAGACUCUUCUUAGCUUGAGGCAGCUCCUACUUCAUCCCUGAAGAGGUCUCCAAGCAGGUGAUUGGACUCAGAAGCUCACACCGAAGACACAAAAGCUUUUAUCGCCACAACAAGAAGUUAGCACCUCCUGGAGUUUGCUGAAGGAAUGUAGAGUGUCUGGAGAGCAUGCUGUCUCUGAGCUCAGUGACCACCAACUGAGAGAUGGUUCAUUGGGAGGACUUAGCACCUGCUGCUCUUGCAGGCAACCUGUUGUUUCUCAGCAUGCACAGGAUGGCUCACAACCACUGCGACUCCAGUUCCAGGGAAUCUGACUUCCUCUUCUGGCCUCCACAGGCACCAGAUGCACACAGGAUGCACAUGCAGACCAAACAGUCAUUCACAGAAAAUAAAAUGAAAAAAAUCUUUUAAAAACGUA